GACGAACGCUGGCGGCGUGCCUAAUACAUGCAAGUUGAGCGCUGAAGGUUGGUACUUGUACCAACUGGAUGAGCAGCGAACGGGUGAGUAACGCGUGGGGAAUCUGCCUUUGAGCGGGGGACAACAUUUGGAAACGAAUGCUAAUACCGCAUAAAAACUUUAAACACAAGUUUUAAGUUUGAAAGAUGCAAUUGCAUCACUCAAAGAUGAUCCCGCGUUGUAUUAGCUAGUUGGUGAGGUAAAGGCUCACCAAGGCGAUGAUACAUAGCAGACCUGAGAGGGUGAUCGGCCACAUUGGGACUGAGACACGACCCAAACUCCUACGGGAGGCAGCAGUAGGGAAUCUUCGGCAAUGGACGAAAGUCUGACCGAGCAACGCCGCGUGAGUGAAGAAGGUUUUCGGAUCGUAAAACUCUGUUGGUAGAGAAGAACGUUGGUGAGAGUGGAAAGCUCAUCAAGUGACGGUAACUACCCAGAAAGGGACGGCUAACUACGUG
rnacentral:rRNA from 1 species